AGAGUGAACGCUGGCGGCAGGCCUAACACAUGCAAGUCGAACGGCAGCACAGGGGAGCUUGCUCCCUGGGUGGCGAGUGGCGGACGGGUGAGGACAACGUCGGAAUCUGCCUUUUUGUGGGGGAUAACGUAGGGAAACUUACGCUAAUACCGCAUACGACCCCGGGCCGGAGGUUCGGGGUGAAAGCGGAGGACCUUCGGGCUUCGCGCAGAAAGAUGAGCCGACGUCGGAUUAGCUAGUUGGUGGGGUAAAGGCCCACCAAGGCGACGAUCCGUAGCUGGUCUGAGAGGAUGAUCAGCCACACUGGAACUGAGACACGGUCCAGACUCCUACGGGAGGCAGCAGUGGGGAAUAUUGGACAAUGGGCGCAAGCCUGAUCCAGCCAUGCCGCGUGUGUGAAGGAAGGCCGUUCGG
rnacentral:rRNA from 1 species